AUUGAACGCUGGCGGCAUGCUUUACACAUGCAAGUCGAACGGUAACAGGCCGCAAGGUGCUGACGAGUGGCGAACGGGGGAGUAAUGCAUCGGAACGUGCCCAGUCGCGGGGGAUAACUACUCGAAAGAGUAGCUAAUACCGCAUACGAUCUAAGGAUGAAAGCGGGGGACCGUAAGGCCUCGCGCGAGUGGAGCGGCCGAUGUCAGAUUAGGUAGUUGGUGGGGUAAAGGCUCACCAAGCCAACGAUCUGUAGCUGGUCUGAGAGGACGACCAGCCACACUGGGACUGAGACACGGCCCAGACUCCUACGGGAGGCAGCAGUGGGGAAUUUUGGACAAAGGGCGCAAGCCUGAUCCAGCAAUGCCGCGUGCAGGAAGAAGGCCUUCGGGUUGUAAACUGCUUUUGUUCGGAACGAAACGGCUCUGGUUAAUACCCGGGGCUAAUGACGGUACCGUAAGAAUAAGCACCGGCUAACUACGUG
rnacentral:rRNA from 1 species